AUGUCAUUUAUAACAACAACUCUAUAUUCUUUCAUACUUUUCCUUUGCAGACAUCAUUUAUUAUUCUCUCAUUUUUCUGUUAUCAUUGAUUCUUGUACACCAACAGUCUGUAGAUGUUUCUUUCAUUUUGUUUAUGUUUUGGCUUUUCUUCUUCUGUUGCCGGUUGAUUUUUGGCACUCCUUGUGCCCGUGUUUACUCGUUCUGUAUCCUUUUGUGAGCUUUCGCUUUUCUUUAGUAAUAUAUUAUUUGACCAUUAAAAAAAUUAGUUUUUAUCAUAAUGUUUUGAUUUAUGAAACACCAACACACAUACGAACAUGA